ensembl:lncRNA
CACACCUGUCAGAGUUCAGACCAGGAGAAGAGAGCAGCGCACAGGGAGGAGGAGAAAGAGAAAUCUAGAGGAAAAGUGUCCAACUACAAUACCUCAACAAGGGGAAGCGGUUUGUGACAACGAAUGAAAGAGCAGAAUAGGACAAAGGGACAAACAAAAUAAGAGUGGAGGCCAGAGAGACAGUGACAGACUGAGCAGCUCGGUGACGUGAUGUCCCAUAUGGAACGACCAUAGUCAGAGCAGACAGGAGAAGCUGCCAGGCCCAUUAGAGCAGCUGCUCGUUAGAUGUCUGUCAAUCAAGGGGGAGGGGAAACACACCAGGCACACUGAUACUGGUUUACAUUUAGCGUGACGAACAGCAGGACGGCUCCUAUGUUUAGCUGCAGCUAGCUAGCGAAUCCUAGCUUUAAAUGCCUCCGGCGUCUGCCAUCUGUGCGCUCGCCACCGCCAUAUAUCUAAUUUAUGGCUGGACUGAAUGUGUAAUGUAGGCCUAUGUAUGCAUAAUAUAUCACGUGAUCAUAUGUCAGAGGUGUGUGUAGUAGCUGUUUUAAGUCUCGCUCCCAUCAGGUUUGACUGGGCUGAUGAAGAGCCCAGAUGUUUCUUAGACCUGGUUAAAAGAUCGAAAUGCAGGCAGAAUGCCAAUGUCUCAUUAGGCAAAUUUGAUUGGGUUUCUAAUUUAAAAUUCUGAAUGAGGCGCUUCCAUAUGUAUGAAUGUGUAGGAGGGCACGUGUGCGUGCGUUCAUUUGCAUAUGUAUAUAUUACAGUAGGUCCGUGUGUGCGCGCUUGUUUGUGUGUCUAUGUACCAUGUGUCUGUAAUACAUGUGCUUGUAUAAAUAAGGACCUGUC